UACGUAGGGGGCAAGCGUUGUCCGGAUUUAUUGGGCGUAAAGAGCGUGUAGGCGGCCAGGUAGGUCUGCUGUGAAAACUCGAGGCUCAACCUCGAGAUGUCGGCGGAAACCAUCUGGCUAGAGUCCGGAAGAGGAGAAUGGAAUUCCCGGUGUAGCGGUGAAAUGCGCAGAUAUCGGGAGGAACACCUAUGGCGAAGGCAGCUCGCUGGGACGUUACUGACGCUGAGACGCGAAAGCGUGGGGAGCAAACAGG
rnacentral:rRNA from 1 species